rnacentral:rRNA from 1 species
CCUACGGGUGGCAGCAGUGGGGAAUAUUGCACAAUGGGCGCAAGCCUGAUGCAGCCAUGCCGCGUGUGUGAAGAAGGCCUUCGGGUUGUAAAGCACUUUCAGCGGGGAGGAAGGCGUUAAGGUUAAUAACCUUGGCGAUUGACGUUACCCGCAGAAGAAGCGCCGGCUAACUCCGUGCCAGCAGCCGCGGUAAUACGGAGGGUGCAAGCGUUAAUCGGAAUUACUGGGCGUAAAGCGCACGCAGGCGGUCUGUCAAGUCGGAUGUGAAAUCCCCGGGCUCAACCUGGGAACUGCAUUCGAAGCUGGCAGGCUAGAGUCUUGUAGAGGGGGGUAGAAUUCCAGGUGGAGCGGUGAAAUGCGUAGAGAUCUGGAGGAAUACCGGUGGCGAAGGCGGCCCCCUGGACAAAGACUGACGCUCAGGUGCGAAAGCGUGGGGAGCAAACAGGAUUAGAUACCCGGGUAGUC